AUGUGUCCUCAUCAUGGUUUAGAAAGAUGGCUGGUGUUACAAACCUUUUACAAAGGACUGUCCACUCAGACCAGAGCUUUUGUCGAUUCGGCUGUUGGAGGAGGAAUCAUGAACAAAACCAUUGAUGAAGCAUUUGCAUUGAUUGAAAGUAUGGCGUCUCAUCAUUUCCAAUGGUCAAGCGAAAGAGCAAUAGCACCACCCCAUCCUGGUGUGUACAAUGUGUCUGCAAAUGAUAGCAUGGCGGCUCAGAUUGACAUCUUAAACAAGAAGAUGGACAGUAUCAUGUCAAAUUGCAUCGGUACAUCUGUAGCUUCAGUAAGUGUGCCUCAAAUGUGUGAUGUAUGUGGCCAAGCAGGUCAUCUUUCAACAGAAUGUACCUUCUAUUCAGCAAUUGGAUCAUCGGUUUUAGAAGUAAGUUAUGCCCAAAGUCAAGGUCCAUUCUCAAACAACUACAAUCCUUCUUGGAGGAACCAUCCAAACUUGUCGUACAAGAACAAUCAGUCAUAUGCAAGUGGAUCGACAGUACAAGGAAAUCGACCACCAAAUCAUCCAAGUCAAUUUCAAGUGCCGAGGCAGAAUGAACAACAAAAUGUUCAGUCAAAUGGAAUGGAGGAAAUCAUGAAAAUGCAGUUGGAAUUGAUGAGCAAGAUGACAAAUGAAGUUAAUGGAUUAAAGGAUACUGUUAAGAUGCUUGUGAGCAAAAUGGAUAGUAUGGUGGGAGAAAAUGAAAAAAGGCUGCCUGCGCAACCAAUUCCAAACCCGAAAGCUCACUGUGGGGCAAUAUCUUCAAUUAAUGCAGUGACUACAAGGAGUGGAGUUAUGUCAGGACCAUUACUUCCUACUCCGAAGACAUAUGUCCCUCCUGCUAUGAGGCCAAGUUCAUCCGGAACUCCACCUUCAACAUCAUCAGAGAAACUAAAGGAGAAAGAAAUUGAUAACCGAAUUGAAACUGAAGUCGAAUUUCCUGGUUUUCAAACAAGAGCUGAGCCUUUGCUAGAGGAAGCAAUAACAACCAACAACAUUCCUUUUUCUGAGCGGUUCAACAAACCCAAAGAUGACAAGCAAUUUGCCAAAUUCUUGGAAACUAUGAAGGGAGUUCAGAUUACUAUUCCUAUUCUUGAAGCUGUCUUGCAUGUUCCAAUGUAUGCCAAAUAUUUCAAGGAACUGCUAACAAGGAAAAGAAGCAUGUCUGAGCCAGAAGUAGUGACUUUAUCAAAGGAAUGCAGUGCAAUAAUUCAGAAUUCCAUGCAUGAAAAAUUGGAUGAUCCAGGAAGCUUUUGUGUACCAUGUGUGAUUGGAAACAAAACUUAUAGUGCUCUGUGUGACUUGGUCUCAAGUGUUAGUGUGUUACCACAUUCAGUUAGCAAAAGGAUGAUCUUGGGAGAAUUAAAUCCAACAGCCAUAACUCUUCAGUUAGCCAACAGAACAUAUAGGAAACCUGUUGGAAUUCUUGAGGAUGUUCCAAUCAAAGUUGGGAAGUUUGCUUAUCCGGUUGACUUUGUAGUGCUAGAUAUAGAGGACAAAAGUGAGGCUGUGAUCCUUGGAAGGCCAUUUUUGGCCAUAGCUGGUGCACUUAUUGAUGUUCAAGAAGCUAAAUUGAGCCUGAGGUUUGGAAAUGAAAAGGUGGAGUUUGACAUGAAGCAUGCAACACAUGUUCCGCAAGGAGAAAAGCACUGCUACAAAAUUAAUACACUACAGAAAUGUGUGGAAGAAGGUUAUGAAGAGAGGUAUGGAAGUAAUUGUUGUGAAGUAGUUGAGGAGGACAAUAGUGAAAUCAGAUAUGAAGAAAUCAGACCUGUGAGCAUAUUGGAAAGCAGUACAAGGCCACUAGAGAAGAUGCAAUCAAGGCAAAUAGAAAUGAAACAACUUCCAGAAAGUUUGAAGUAUGCAUUCUUAGACAAUGACAACCAGUGGCCAAUUAUCAUGAAUAGGGAGUUGAUGGAAAGGCAAAUAAAAGGGCUUCAAGCAGUUUUGCAAAAGUAUAAGGAUGUUAUUGGAUAUUCAAUUGAUGAUAUGAAAGGGAUAAAUCCUGCUGUCUGCUCUCAUAGGAUUUACUUGAAAGAAAGCAGUGUACCAAUUAGAGAAAGUCAAAGAAGGUUGAAUCCCCAUUUGCAAGAGGUUGUAAAAAAGGAGAUUCUUAAAUUGCUCUCUGCUGAUAUCAUAUACCCAAUUUCGGACAGCGAGUGGGUGAGUCCCAUUCACAUGGUUCCCAAGAAAGGAGGAAUAACUGUCAUUGAAAAUGAACAAGGGCAAACGAUUCCUAGUAGGACUGUCACAGGGUGGAGAAUGGUCAAUGAUUUCAGAAAGUUAAAUGAAGUAACAAGGAAGGACCAUUUUCCUUUACCUUUCAUUGACCAAAUGCUGGAAAGGCUUGCUGGGCAUGAAUAUUUCUGCUGCUUAGAUGGGUAUUCAGGAUUCUUGCAAAUCCCAAUUCAUCCGGAUGAUCAAGAUAAAACAACUUUCACUUGCCCAUACGGAACAUUUGCUUACAAAAGACUAGCUUAUGGACUUUGUAAUGCACCCCCAACAUUUCAAAGGUUUAUGCUCUCUAUAUUCUUUGAUAUGAUAGGAACCAAAGUGGAGGUGUUCAUAGAUGAUAUUACAGUCGUUGGAAAAAGUUAUGAGGAUUGCUUGAAUAAUUUGGCAGCAGUUCCUCAGAGGUGUUCAGAACACAAUCUAGUCUUAAACUGGGAGAAGUGUCAGUUUCUUGUAAAGGAAGGAAUUAUUUUGGGACAUUUGGUAUCUGAAAGAGGAAUUGAGGUUGAUUAA
rnacentral:rRNA from 1 species